rnacentral:misc_RNA from 1 species
CACAGCAUUGCCGUUGAAGGGAGGUCCACUACGCGCAGGCGCGCACCUGUGGUUCCUCUCUUCGCCUGGCGCGACUACAAUACAGAAUUCUGAGGGCCGCGCAGCUCUCACCCCGGUCUCCCCUGUCUUGCACACGAAGAUUCACAGCACAGCACAGCAUACCACACACUCCGAGUUACACGCACUCGCGCAUACAUUCUCAAAGGGCCCACGCGACGUGCGCCGUAGGUAACCCCUCUUUUCCUCUUUCUGCUACUCCCACUCCCACUGCCUCGCACACAAUCAAACACACACACACACACACACACACGCAAAUACAAAUCGAUAGACUGCGACGUGCGCUCAGCAAACAUGGGCAUUGCUGGGUUCUUUUUGUGGUUGCAGCGAUGGCACGGCGACUGCAUCGACAACAUCCCACAGGAUGUGGUAGAUGCUGCCUUCAAGGGUCAGACGCUUCCGCACAGCCAUGCCAGUGCGUACUCGUACGACAACUUCUAUGUGGACAUGAACGGGUUGAUUCACCCCUGCUGCCACGAUACGGCGCCGCUGCCGGAGCCAGAGAACGAGGAGGAGAUGUUUGAGCGCAUGUUCGACCAGCUUGACCUCCUCGUCAGGGUGGUGCGUCCGAAGAAGUGCCUCGUGCUGUGCGUUGAUGGCGUCGCCCCACGUAGCAAGAUGAAUCAGCAGCGCAGCCGUCGCUUCCGUGCCGCAGACGAGCGCCUGGAGAGCGACGCCAUCUCGAACGCCUGUGCAGACCGCAUUGUCUCCGAGUAUCACCUUCCCCGGCCACGCGUCCGGGAGCGCUGGGACCACAACGUCAUAACCCCGUCCACGGCGUUCAUGGAGCGCGUCGCCCUCGCGCUUGAGUGGUACAUUAUGAAGAAGCUAAACGAGGACGCCGCAUGGCGCCACUUGACGGUCGUCUUCUCGGACGCGCACGUGCCGGGCGAGGGCGAGCACAAGAUCAUGCAAUACAUCCGCGGCCUGCGCUCGCAGCCCGGCUAUGACUACAACACUAGCCACGUCAUUCACGGCAUGGAUGCCGACCUCAUCUGCCUCGGGCUGUCGACGCACGAGAAACAUGUCUGCAUCUUGCGCAACCAGCUCACCGAGACCUUCCAGCCAGAUCACAAUCGCUUCUGCUACUUUAACCUAAGCACGUACCGCGAGAAGCUUAUGCAGGACUUUUCGAACAUCGAGGGCAUGCAGUUCGAGCGCGUCGUGGACGACUUCAUCUUCCUCUGCUUCUUCGUCGGCAACGAUUUCUUGCCGCACGUGCCGCUCGUGUCCAUCAAGACGCGUGGCAUCGAGAUGCUCCUUGACCACUACGUGCGCGACUUCGCGCUGCACGGCUACUUGACCCAGCUCGGCGAGGUGGACUACGCCCACCUGCACAUCUUCCUCAUGAACUUCACUUCCAAGUGCAUGAUGAAGCUGACGAAGGAGUACUACGGCGUCGUCCGCGCUAAGGAGCGCGCAAAGCAGCACGUUGAGGAGCGCGUCACCAAGACGGAGGCUCAAGUAUCGGAGGUGCUGGGGACCUUGCUGCCAGAUCGCAGCAACGCACAAGAGGUCAGUGACGCGUUACUGGCGCUCAUGUCAUCUGCGCGGAAAGAGCGCACCCGCCUCGUCGUGGACAAGCAGCCGCUCGGGUUCUCCUACCUCGACAAGGCGUACCGCGACGCGUAUUACCAGCAUAAGUUCGGCUGGGACCCGUCGGCCAACCGUGCCGCCUUCGAGAGCCACAUUCGGCUCUGCUGUGCCGAGUACCUGCGUGGGUUGCAGUGGGUCAUGCGCUACUACACGAAGGGGUGCCCGUCGUGGGAGUGGUACUUUCCGUACCACUACGCCCCGCUGCUGCAGGACUUGGCGGCGUUCACGGCGACGGUGAAUGUCGAAAUGCGCAUGAGCGCUCCUCUUCAUCCAGUAGAGCAGCUGCUGGCGGUGCUACCGCGGCUGAGCGUGCACGCCCUGCCCGAGGAGCUGCACGAGGCCGUGAACGACCCCAAGUCCGUCUUGGGCAAGUUCUACCCCGCCAUCGUCGAUGUCGACUUUAGCGAAGCCAACUUCUCGUACCAAGGGGUACUGCGUAUUCCCUUCAUCAACUGCGAGGCCCUCAGCAAGGCCUGCCGACAGCUGGUUGAGUUGGAGGAGGACUUUGGCAGCACAUUCCUCUACUGCCAUGAGUCCACUUCACUAGCGAAACAGCUAGACGCUCUCACUGGGCCGAGCAACAGCGCAUUGCCGCUGGCGACCAGCCUGGCGCCGCCGGUGAUGCCGAUCCCCGCCUCGGUGGCAUCGACGAUGCCGGUUGCCGGCCGAGUGGGCCGCUAUGAGGCGGAGUGGCCUCGACACGAGGAGCUGCAGUGCCCCGACCCGGGCAUGGCCAAGUCCACGCGCUACGGUGGACGCAUCAAGUCGAACCAGGUGAACCAGUACCGCUACGAGCUCAGCACACAGGCCGACUACCGUCCCGUGCUCAUGGGCGAGGAGAAGGCGACCAAAAACGGGGCGGCGGCGGCGGCCGCAUCGAAGACGUCCAAGCGACUGGAAAAAGAUCAGUCACCGCCGCGGCACCGCAAGCGGGGCCGCGACGCAGACCACGUCGUCAACAGUAUCGACGCUAAACGCAAGAGAGGCUCCAGCCGGCACGACGACGACAGGGACAGGCGCGAGCGCCACCGCAGCAACGGCGAGAGGGAGCAGAAUGGCGGGAGCCGGCGCCGCAGCAAGGACGUCGACACGUGUGGGGCCUCUUCCUCCUCGCCUCACACCUCAUCUUCUAAGCAUCGCUCCAAGGAGGGGGAAAAGAAGCGCUCGCAGCACGAGACUGGAUCUCGCGAGAGUAAAAGUGAGGCUCACCCCGCACCCUUGUCUUCGUCAUCUCGACGCGCCAAGAAGAGCCGCGAAGCGAAGAAGGAACUGCGACCGUCCGAAAAGGUGACGCCGACCAAGCCGUCGCGGCACGCUCAUCGACAGCGGCGCGCGUGAGAGAGGAGGUUUGCUUGAGAGUCACUCCACAAGGAGGCAGCUGUGCUUUGCCGCGCGUGUGUGUCGGCCAUGCAUGCGCGGAGAGGCUCGCGUGUGCGCACGGCGCCGUGGAUGCUUGUCAAUCGCUUCCGGCGCUUUUGCACGUUGACUCCUCCGAUACCCAGCAACGCUUUGCGCGCCGAGGUGCGUGUACAUGCGCGUGGGCAAGUUGUGCUGUCGCUGCUGCUGCGCUCCGGCGCUCCAAGUAGUUUGUGUUGUCGUCGCGCUCGUUCCGCACAACCCUCCUCCAUCGCCCUCCCUCAUCGCAGCAUCACCGCAUCCCUGCCGUUUCGUGCCCGCUCCUCUUUCCUCGCGGGCAUUAUGAGUAGCCUACAACGAAACGAAGAGCGACAGCAGCGAUGCGCGUAACAACGACAUGCGCGACACGAUUCGUGUCGCGCAGCAAAUAACGCUGAGCUCCAUGGACUGAAGUACCGCUGAUCUCGCU